CGAAUGCUGACAUAAGUAACGAUAAAGCGGGUGAAAAGCCCGCUCGCCGGAAGACCAAGGGUUCCUGUCCAACGUUAAUCGGGGCAGGGUGAGUCGACCCCUAAGGCGAGGCCGAAAGGCGUAGUCGAUGGGAAACAGGUUAAUAUUCCUGUACUUGGUGUUACUGCGAAGGGGGGACGGAGAAGGCUAUGUUGGCCGGGCGACGGUUGUCCCGGUUUAAGCGUGUAGGCUGGUUUUCCAGGCAAAUCCGGAAAAUCAAGGCUGAGGCGUGAUGACGAGGCACUACGGUGCUGAAGCAACAAAUGCCCUGCUUCCAGGAAAAGCCUCUAAGCAUCAGGUAACAUCAAAUCGUACCCCAAACCGACACAGGUGGUCAGGUAGAGAAUACCAAGGCGCUUGAGAGAACUCGGGUGAAGGAACUAGGCAAAAUGGUGCCGUAACUUCGGGAGAAGGCACGCUGAUAUGUAGGUGAAGCGACUUGCUCGUGGAGCUGAAAUCAGUCGAAGAUACCAGCUGGCUGCAACUGUUUAUUAAAAACACAGCACUGUGCAAACACGAAAGUGGACGUAUACGGUGUGACGCCUGCCCGGUGCCGGAAGGUUAAUUGAUGGGGUCAGCGCAAGCGAAGCUCUUGAUCGAAGCCCCGGUAAACGGCGGCCGUAACUAUAACGGUCCUAAGGUAGCGAAAUUCCUUGUCGGGUAAGUUCCGACCUGCACGAAUGGCGUAAUGAUGGCCAGGCUGUCUCCACCCGAGACUCAGUGAAAUUGAACUCGCUGUGAAGAUGCAGUGUACCCGCGGCAAGACGGAAAGACCCCGUGAACCUUUACUAUAGCUUGACACUGAACAUUGAGCCUUGAUGUGUAGGAUAGGUGGGAGGCUUAGAAGUGUGGACGCCAGUCUGCAUGGAGCCGACCUUGAAAUACCACCCUUUAAUGUUUGAUGUUCUAACGUUGACCCGUGAUCCGGGUUGCGGACAGUGUCUGGUGGGUAGUUUGACUGGGGCGGUCUCCUCCUAAAGAGUAACGGAGGAGCACGAAGGUUGGCUAAUCCUGGUCGGACAUCAGGAGGUUAGUGCAAUGGCAUAAGCCAGCUUGACUGCGAGCGUGACGGCGCGAGCAGGUGCGAAAGCAGGUCAUAGUGAUCCGGUGGUUCUGAAUGGAAGGGCCAUCGCUCAACGGAUAAAAGGUACUCCGGGGAUAACAGGCUGAUACCGCCCAAGAGUUCAUAUCGACGGCGGUGUUUGGCACCUCGAUGUCGGCUCAUCACAUCCUGGGGCUGAAGUAGGUCCCAAGGGUAUGGCUGUUCGCCAUUUAAAGUGGUACGCGAGCUGGGUUUAGAACGUCGUGAGACAGUUCGGUCCCUAUCUGCCGUGGGCGCUGGAGAACUGAGGGGGGCUGCUCCUAGUACGAGAGGACCGGAGUGGACGCAUCACUGGUGUUCGGGUUGUCAUGCCAAUGGCACUGCCCGGUAGCUAAAUGCGGAAGAGAUAAGUGCUGAAAGCAUCUAAGCACGAAACUUGCCCCGAGAUGAGUUCUCCCUGACUCCUUGAGAGUCCUGAAGGAACGUUGAAGACGACGACGUUGAUAGGCCGGGUGUGUAAGCGCAGCGAUGCGUUGAGCUAACCGGUACUAAUGAACCGUGAGGCUUAACCUU
rnacentral:rRNA from 1 species